rnacentral:rRNA from 1 species
GCUUAACACAUGCAAGUCGAGGGGCAGCGGGGGUAGCGAUACCCGCCGGCGACCGGCGCACGGGUGAGUAACGCGUAUGCAACUUGCCUAUCAGAGGGGGAUAACCCGGCGAAAGUCGGACUAAUACCGCAUGAAGCAGGGAUCCCGCAUGGGAAUAUUUGCUAAAGAUUCAUCGCUGAUAGAUAGGCAUGCGUUCCAUUAGGCAGUUGGCGGGGUAACGGCCCACCAAACCGACGAUGGAUAGGGGUUCUGAGAGGAAGGUCCCCCACAUUGGUACUGAGACACGGACCAAACUCCUACGGGAGGCAGCAGUGAGGAAUAUUGGUCAAUGGGCGCGAGCCUGAACCAGCCAAGUCGCGUGAGGGAUGAAGGUCCUAUGGAUCGUAAACCUCUUUUAUAAGGGAAUAAAGUGCGGGACGUGUCCCGUUUUGUAUGUACCUUAUGAAUAAGGAUCGGCUAACUCCGUGCCAGCAGCCGCGGUAAUACGGAGGAUCCGAGCGUUAUCCGGAUUUAUUGGGUUUAAAGGGUGCGUAGGCGGCCUUUUAAGUCAGCGGUGAAAGUCUGUGGCUCAACCAUAGAAUUGCCGUUGAAACUGGGAGGCUUGAGUAUGUUUGAGGCAGGCGGAAUGCGUGGUGUAGCGGUGAAAUGCUUAGAUAUCACGCAGAACCCCGAUUGCGAAGGCAGCCUGCCAAGCCAUGACUGACGCUGAUGCACGAAAGCGUGGGGAUCAAACAGGAUUAGAUACCCUGGUAGUCCACGCAGUAAACGAUGAUCACUAGCUGUUUGCGAUACAUUGUAAGCGGCACAGCGAAAGCGUUAAGUGAUCCACCUGGGGAGUACGCCGGCAACGGUGAAACUCAAAGGAAUUGACGGGGGCCCGCACAAGCGGAGGAACAUGUGGUUUAAUUCGAUGAUACGCGAGGAACCUUACCCGGGUUUGAACGCAUUCGGACCGAGGUGGAAACACCUUUUCUAGCAAUAGCCGUUUGCGAGGUGCUGCAUGGUUGUCGUCAGCUCGUGCCGUGAGGUGUCGGCUUAAGUGCCAUAACGAGCGCAACCCUUGCCACUAGUUACUAACAGGUAAAGCUGAGGACUCUGGUGGGACUGCCAGCGUAAGCUGCGAGGAAGGCGGGGAUGACGUCAAAUCAGCACGGCCCUUACAUCCGGGGCGACACACGUGUUACAAUGGCGUGGACAAAGGGAAGCCACCUGGCGACAGGGAGCGAAUCCCCAAACCACGUCUCAGUUCGGAUCGGAGUCUGCAACCCGACUCUGUGAAGCUGGAUUCGCUAGUAAUCGCGCAUCAGCCAUGGCGCGGUGAAUACGUUCCCGGGCCUUGUACACACCGCCCGUCAAGCCAUGGGAGCCGGGGGUACCUGAAGUCCGUAACCGCGAGGAUCGGCCUAGGGUAAAACUGGUGACUGGGGCUAAGU